rnacentral:rRNA from 1 species
UUAAGUCAGGCAACGAGCGAGACCCACGCCCACAGUUGCCAGCGUACUCUCUGGAGUGACGGGUACACUGUGGGGACCGCCGCUGCUAAAGCGGAGGAAGGAAUGGGCAACGGUAGGUCAGUAUGCCCCGAAUGUCCCGGGCUACACGCGGGCUACAAUGAAUGGGACAAUGGGUCCCUACCCUGAAAAGGGCUGGUAAUCUCACAAACCCAUCCGUAGUUCGGAUCGAGGGCUGCAACUCGCCCUCGUGAAGCUGGAAUCCGUAGUAAUCGCGUUUCAAUAGAACGCGGUGAAUACGUCCCUGCUCCUUGCACA